ACUUCAUUACCCAUGAUGCUUUUCUUCAGAGGUGACCAAACGGGACGCGGAGCGGACCAAGCUGUGACAGCUGACUGAGCUCCAACAAGUUUACGGUGCAAACUUCAUAGGAGAGCGCGACCUUGGACGACAGAAAACCAGGUUAUCGCGAUACACUUGGUGCAGGGAAGGAGCCGGCCGGUAAAGCUACACUCUCUGUAGAAGGUCUUUGUUUUGAUGGGAAUACGCUGAAAGAGGCUAGAUCACUCCAAAACAGCACAGAAAAUACAAAUAUAACUACUUUGGGAGCAGAGUUUUACCUGUAAAUUCCCUGAGGCUCAAAUGACUUAAAUAUUUUUAUUUGGUCCCUAAGACCCAACGAGUGCCCAGCUGUACGCUCCUGUUCAACCUGAGCCUUCCAUACCGAGGCAAGCUGUCCCACCCUGCAUCCUCUCCUUCCUCCUCUCCUUCGGCUUGUCAUUCUC